UACGGAGGGGGCUAGCGUUGUUCGGAAUUACUGGGCGUAAAGCGCACGUAGGCGGCUUUGUAAGUUAGAGGUGAAAGCCCGGGGCUCAACUCCGGAAUUGCCUUUAAGACUGCAUCGCUAGAAUUGUGGAGAGGUAAGUGGAAUUCCGAGUGUAGAGGUGAAAUUCGUAGAUAUUCGGAAGAACACCAGUGGCGAAGGCGACUUACUGGACACAUAUUGACGCUGGGGUGCGAAAGCGUGGGGAGCAAACAGG
rnacentral:rRNA from 1 species